rnacentral:lncRNA from 10 species
AGAGCGUUUCCCAAAGUGUAUUCUGCGGAACUAGCACCUACUGUGUUCUCAACACCGUGCCACCUAUAGAAGAUGAUCAUGGGAACAGCAAUAGUAGUCAUGUAAAAAUCUUUUUACCGAAAAAGCUGCUUGAAUGUCUGCCGAAAUGUUCAAGUUUACCAAAAGAGAGGCACCGCUGGAACACUAAUGAGAGAUCAUGAUGCAGCCGUCCUUUUGGAUUUCUUUUUAAUAAUGUGUGACCCUUCACCUUUGAUCCCCUGACCUGCAUUACCUUGGUAACCAUUUCAUUUUUUAAUUUAAUUUCAUUUUUUAAUUUUGGUGUACAAGCUGUAACAUUUCAUCUUUCAAAGUGUAACACGCUGAUUUCCUCAAAUAGAGAUACCCCUUUGAGUGAUAAAUUUGCAAAAUGCUGUCUUCAUUUUCUGUAUUAAAAUUCAUUUCAGUU